GGGACUCUAGUUUAAGUUAGAACUUCUGUCUGUAAAACAGAGUGUUAGUAGUCUUA
rnacentral:tRNA from 1 species